ensembl:lncRNA
CUCUGUCGGCACAAUUGUGCCUAAGGAUCCGAGUUGAGAUGAGGAGAAAACGGUUACUUAGACUGAGACUCUCUCGUGGGAGCAUAAAAGCAAAGGGGGGUCCACUUUGACCUAUUUUAGGUUCUGGGACGCAGCUGCCGAAAGAAACCGGUCUCCUACCCUCCCACUGUUCUAUAAGAGUAUAGAAAAACUAUUAAAAAUGAGUGCCCCCUGCAUCAAACUCCCAAACCCGACAGAGACAUAGAAAUCCUUCCUCCCACUCAAUCCUGUCUUUGGGAAAACACAAAGGUAUACCUACCAUAGGAGUCAUACAUACAGACUCAGAACCAAUUGGGAAACUACAAUACCUCCUCAGCUCCUUGCUGGUUCAUUUUCAUGCGACAGACUCUUCAAUUUUAUUCUCGUUAAAUAUGUGUAGCAAACAGUGCUAAUGUGGCUUAUAAUGAAUUCCAGUGAAAAUAUGCAACCUUGUUUCUAAAACACCCAUCAUUUUCAUCCCAUUUCAUACUCUCUAUUUAGUCAUUCAGUGACACUUCUCAUCGAUCGUGUCCCUACCAAGAGCAUUUCAGCUAGAGACAUUACAAUAUGGUUGAUAAACAUCACAUUGUGAACAUACACGCAACAGAGGAUCUCUGGAUCAAUACUUCUGCUAUAUACUGUAUACAGUACUCAACUCACUUGCCAACCACUGUUUGUCCAAUAACCCCAGAUCACUUGACAUACAGUAUUCCUGCAGUGUACAGUAGUGGCAAUAUGAGACACAUGAUGGCCAGAAAAGGAGAAGACCGUAUAAUGUUGGUUGAAGUAUCCCCUAAGGACCUCAGAUGACACCCCACAGAAGACAUUACUGUAGAUGAAUACUGAUACGCUGAUGUACUUCAUCAGCAAGCCUGGCUGUCUGUGCAAUUAAACUGACAGUCAUAUCACAAUUAGACAUGAUAAUGUACCUGCCUCGUUAGCCUGUGAUUAAAAAGCUAAACUAGAUGGAAAACAACAUCCAAAUAUUAAAAGGGAUUUCAGUACCACACACUGCAAUACAAAUCAAUAAGCUGUUUCCCCAUAAGUCUAACACAAGUUCAGUAUUAAAUAACAUUUGUUUAUAGGCUUUGAGCUCAAAUGCCUUAUUCCUAUAUCAAAUGCCAUCAACUGAAUAUGUAAAAGUCUACUUAUGGUUUGUCUAACUAUGUAAACCGAGAGCUGUUUUCAUUUGCCAGUAAACAAGCCACAAAACAACAGAAAAGACACUGAAUGUCCCCUGGCGUAGAGUAGCUCUGGCCUGUGUGAGUUUUUCUUACUUUAAACAGUGAAACUACUGUAAAACAGGGAAAACCUUGACGCUCGUGGGGGUGAACCACAUAGAAGCUGGAGUCCUCUGACAUACUCACCCUUCUUUAGACAGAAGACAAGAGCCCAGGUACUGAAUUCUCACUAAGCAACAAUCUGCAAGAGAACAGACACAAGUUCACAAAUUAAACAGAAUACACACUUACACAAAUGCAUUCACAGGUAAAUGCAUGCAUAUACACACACGCACAUAUGCAUGCACCCACACACGCACACACUCAGUAGUUUGGCCAAUGGCUGCUGAAGACAGAGGUGGUCAAGUGUGACAAACAAGGUUUCCAGUCAAUGGCAGCUGCCUACAGGGGCAGUGAGGCAUAACCAAAUUGGAUGGCUGAACCUGAGGAGAAAUCUCAUCCUGUGGUAUGAAAAAUGGCACGGGGCCUUGUUGACAGAUCGGACUUUCUGAUUAGAUUAUGACAUUUCAGGAACAUUGUGACGGGAGGUUGUUGUCUGACCAAAAAGCAGGUUAGAUAAUUUACCACCUCAAACUUUACAGUGCAUUAAGAAAAUGAUCAGAAUAUUGGAAAACAAUGGAGAGAGAUGGAGAGAUAUACCUGCAUUAUUACCAUAUUCCUGUAGAUUAAGGCUAUUCUGUGACUGGAUAAACGAGAGAGAUAAGCAGCACAUGGGUGUCGUCAUGUAAUUAUGAGCAACAUCAUCAUCCUGGCAUUAUCAGGCAUUUUAAUUACAUCUCUGGGGAACAUCAGAUGAUUAGAAAUGAGAAUGGAAUGGCUAGCGGAGUUUAGGCAGAGGAGAGGCGUGGACGUCUGUAUCUCGCUCCUGCAUUGCCUCGAUGGCCCUCACGUAGCAGUUAAUAAAAAAGGGUUUUAUCUGCUGUGUGGCUCUCUUCAUUCUUCCUUUCCCCCUCUACAACCUUAAUUAGACAUUCAGCAGACAGGCUGCUGCUGCAAUGUCUUUCCUAAUGUUCUGUGUAAAAUGCAGGCGAGAUAUUACCCAUGAUUGUGGCUUAAUUAAUAUAUCCUCACUAAAAGUAUGUGGCUUGGAAUGAAGGGCAGGGAGAGAAUAUCUGAUAUGCCCUUGUAAUGAGAAAUAUAUUCAAUAUGAAUCUCAGCAAUGUUCCAAAGUGCUUUUUACAGAAAAAGUGGGUUGAUUAUUGACUAUAAGUCCUUACCCCUUGUCCACCAAAUGAAAAGGCUUUAGCUUCAUCAAGAGGAAAUAAGGAACAAAUAAUAAAAUAUGAGUAUUAUGAGUGUUUCACCUUUGAAAAAGUAUAUUGGAAGUAGUGUGACUGUGUUGGGAGUGGGUAGGCAUACAGAAGGACUUGGCAGACGUCAGUGAAUAAGUGAUUUCCGACCCUGAGGGACACUCCCUGUGAAUGGAUCGCUCCACUGACCACAAUGGAGUGCUGAGCAUACAGUACAUCCUGAGAGUAUGAUCACUGCAAAGGAGAUAAGAAAUGGUGACCCUCAGCAAUUUCAUACAACUGCUGAUGCUCAAUCUAACACUUUUUUUUACAUGACUCCAAUGCGUUUAAGAAGGGAAAUUAAAUAUCACUGAUCUAUUCAUAUUUGCUGUCACACACUCAUGCAGCUAAAAUCAAGAGAACAAGUAGAAUAUUUCCUCUGACAUGGCCCCCCUUCUUGCUGGCAUAGAAUAGCAACCUAUUUUUGGAAUAUUGACGGAACACAAUUUAAGCCUCUCUAAAUUUCUGACUACAAGUGGUAGGCCUAUUCAAUGUCCUUGUUCGAAAAGGAUGAAUGACAGUCAAACCUGAAAAUAAAUUAAAUUCUGCUCUAAUUCCUGUGUGUAGUGCUUCCCCACUAGGCACAAACUGAUUGAAUCAACAUUGUUUCGACGUAAUUUGUAAACGUAUUGUGACAUGGAAUCUGUUUUACACUGGGCUGAACGACACUCCAAUAUAUUUUGUAACAAGAUACUUUCGAAAGCUGUAACUAGUAUUUUCUAAAUACAAAAUACUUUUCUAUACCAUUUCUUUAUAGCGGUUAACAAUUUUGUGGCCUCCUUCCACACUAAAUUGGUUUCAAAAGUUUGAUGGCACUAUGGUGUGAAAAAAGUGUCUGCUAAAUUAACUAAAUGUAAAUGUAUAUGUGAAAUUUAACAAUUGCAAAGCAUGCUGAGGAUUACUCUAAUGAGCUCUGCCCUGAAACAAGGCCAAUGACAAUACCCAGUGUACUUUGCAGUUGUUCAUUUUCACACAUUUUCAUUUGGUCAUCUUAUCCAGAGUGACAUUACAUUCAACAAUUUAUUUAUUUUAUUUAUUUAACCUUUAUUUAACUAGGCAAGCCAGUUAAGAACAAAUUCUUAUUUACAAUGACGGGCAAUCAAAAGGCAAAAGGCUUCCUACGGGGACGGGGCUGUGAUUUUAAAAAUAAAUAAAUAAAUAAAUAUAGGACAAAACACACAUCACGUUAAGAGAGACAACACAACACUACAUAAAGAGCGACCUAAGACAACAACAUAGCAUGGCAGCCACACAUGACAACACAGCAUGGUAGCAACACAACAUAACAACAACAUGGUAGCAACAGAACAUUGUCACGCCCUGAUCUGUUUCACCUGUCCUUGUGCUUGUCUCCUCCAGGUGUCGCCCAUCUUCCCCAUUAUCCCCUGUGUACUUAUACCUGUGUUCUCUGUAUGUCUGUUGCCAGUUCGUCUUGUUUUUCAAGUCUACCAGCGUUUUGUCUCAGCUCCUGCUUUCCCCAGUCUCUUUUUUUUCUCAAUCUCCUGGUUUUGACCUUUGCCUCUUCUGACUCUGAGCCCGCCUGCCUGACCACUCUGCCUGACCCUGAGCCUGCCUACCAUCCUGUGCCUUUACCUCUACUCUGGAUUACCAACCUCUGCCUGCCCUGACCCUAAUCCUGCCUGCCGUCUUGUGCCUUAGCCACUACUGUCACACCCUGAUCUGUUUCACCUUUCCUUGUGAUUGUCUCCACCCCCUCCAGGUGUCGCUUGUUUUCCCUAGUGUAUUUAUCCCUGUGUUUACUGUCUCUCUGUGCCAGUUCGUAUGUUUCCAAGUCAACCAGCGGUGUUCCCAUUCUCCUGCCUUUGCUAUUCUCCUUUUCUAUUCCACCCGGUUUUGACCCUUGCCUGUUUCUGGACUCUGCACCCGCCUGCCUGACCAUUCUGCCUGCCUUGACCUCGAGCCUGUCUGCCACUCUGUACCUCCUGGACUCUGAUCUGGUUUUGACCUUUUGCCUGUCCACGACCAUUCUCUUGCCUACUCUGUUUUGGAUUAUUAAACAUCUUAGACUCCAACCAUCUGCCUCCUGUGUCUGCAUCUGGGUCUCGCCUUGUGUCAUGUCUGCAUUUGGGUCUUACCUGAAAUGUGAUAGUCUGCCACACUGAGGAGUCCUGCCAAAGCUGGAGUAACUUCCGGGCAGCCUCUCUCCCAGACACCGGAGCCUCAACUUUCUCACCUCCACCACGAAUACCUCCAGAUUGAGGCAGACAUAGAAGUGGAAGCUUUCUCCUUGAGGAAACUUACUGGAGAAGAAAGUUCUUUGUUUCUGGCCAUUUUGAGCCUGUAAUCGAACCCAUGUGCCAUUGGAACACAGGAGUGAUGGUUGCUGAUAAUGGGCCUCUGUACACCUAUGUAGAUAUCCCAUAGCUGCAUUUUCCAGCUACAAUAGUCAUUUACAACAUCAACAAUUUCUACACUGUAUUUCUGAUCAAUUUGAUAUUUUAAAUGUACAAAAAAUGUGAUUUUCUUUCAAAAACAAGGACAUUUCUAUGUGACCCCAAACUUUUGAUCGGUACUGUUGUCACGCCCAGGCCUUAGUUAUCUUUGUUUUCUUUAUUUUGGUUAGGUCAGGGUGUGACAUGGGGGAAUUAUGUGUUUUGUCUGGUCUAGGGGUUUUUGUAUGUUUAUGGAGCUGUUUCCUUUCUAGGUAGUUUGUAGGUCUAUGGUUGCCUAGAUUGGUUCUCAAUUAGAGGCAGCUGUCUAUCGUUGUCUCUGAUUGGGAACCCUAUUUAGGCAGCCAUAUUCUGUGGGUACUUUGUGGGUGAUUGUCUUCUGUCUUUGUGUCAUUGUACCAGAUAGGACUGUUUCAGGUUUUGUAUUUUGUAGUGUUCUCAUUUAUCAUCUAUAUUAAAGAUGCUGAACACUAACCA